rnacentral:rRNA from 1 species
GACGAACGCUGGCGGCGUGCUUAACACAUGCAAGUCGAACGGUGAAGCGCUUUCCUUUUUGGUUGGUGUGGAUGAGUGGCGAACGGGUGAGUAACACGUGAGUAACCUGCCCCCUUCUUCUGGAUAACCGCAUGAAAGUGUGGCUAAUACGGGAUAUUCUGCGCCUGCUGCAUGGUGGGUGUGGGAAAGAUUGUGCCUUUGGGUGUUUUCGGUGGGGGAUGGGCUCGCGGCCUAUCAGCUUGUUGGUGGGGUGAUGGCCUAGCAAGGCGGUGACGGGUAGCCGGGCUGAGAGGGUGGACGGUCACACUGGGACUGAGACACGGCCCAGUCUCCUACGGGAGGCAGCGGUGGGGAAUAUUGCACAAUGGGCGCAAGCCUGAUGCAGCGGCGCCGCGUGAGGGAUGGAGGCCUUCGGGUUGUGAACCUCUUGCGCCAGUGAAGCAGGCCUGCUCCUUGUGGGUGGGUUGACGGUAGCUGGAUAAGAAGCGCCGGCUAACUACGUG